GUAGGGAAUCUUCCGCAAUGGACGAAAGUCUGACGGAGCAACGCCGCGUGAGCGAAGAAGGUCUUCGGAUCGUAAAGCUCUGUUGUUAGGGAAGAACAAGUACCGGAGUAACUGACGGUACCUUGACGGUACCUAACCAGAAAGCCACGGCUAACUACGUGCCAGCAGCCGCGGUAAUACGUAGGUGGCAAGCGUUGUCCGGAAUCAUUGGGCGUAAAGCGCGCGCAGGCGGUCCUUUAAGUCUGAUGUGAAAUCUUGCGGCUCAACCGUAAGCGGUCAUUGGAAACUGGGGGACUUGAGUGCAGGAGAGGAAAGCGGAAUUCCAUGUGUAGCGGUGAAAUGCGUAGAGAUAUGGAGGAACACCAGUGGCGAAGGCGGCUUUCUGGCCUGUAACUGACGCUGAGGCGCGAAAGCGUGGGGAGCAAACAGGAUUAGAAACCCUAGUAGUCC
rnacentral:rRNA from 1 species